CUCUCCGUGGGAGCGCUGUUGCGGGCGCUCGCGCGGAGGCGACGGGGAUCGGCGCGGGCGUCGGCGGCUGCUCCUAGAGGGCAUCGGAUGGGCCGCCGGUUGUUGUUGGAGGCUCUUGACCGCGUCCGUCAGUACGGUCAUCUGCCGUACGAUGGCCGCGAUCUGCGCCUCCGUGGUCACCGCAGGGUGUGGAGAGCUGGGCUCCGCCGCUGAGGGUGGCGGGGAGGCCUCUUCCCGACGGGAAGAGCGCCUCGCCGACCCGGUGAUCCUCGAUCGCUGGGCUCUUGUCUUCGUCAUCAGUAUC
rnacentral:lncRNA from 1 species